GUGUUUUGGUGGUGGGUUCGGGUGUUUGUAACAUCGCCUUAUCUGGAAAACAGCAAUUCUGUGUGUGUCGUGUAUCGUUCUCUGUUUUUGUCUUAUUUAUAAAGUCUACUGAACUGAAUCCUUUGUUCCUCGAGAAGACGCGUCUGUUAAGCUCGUUGAAGAUGUCUGUCAGUGCUGUGCUGAAGGAUGUAAAUGAUUCCAAACUGCAGCUACAGAGUGAGAGGCUGAGAGAGAGCUUCAGACGAGGGGAGCCCAAAGCAAUGGGGGUCACAGAGAUCAUGCUGGGGUUGAUGACAAUCACCAUAGCCAUGCCACUGAUCGCCAGUAACCCGACCCACACUGUCAACCUGCUGGCACCCUGGUGGAGCGGAGCUGUGGUGUGUA